rnacentral:rRNA from 1 species
CUUAGUGGCGGACGGGUGAGUAACGCGUGAGCAAUCUGCCUUUCAGAGGGGGAUAACGAUUGGAAACGAUCGCUAAUACCGCAUAACGUAUUCGGAUGGCAUCUUCUGAAUACCAAAGGAGCAAUCCGCUGAAAGAUGAGCUCGCGUCUGAUUAGAUAGUUGGUGAGGUAACGGCCCACCAAGUCGACGAUCAGUAGCCUGACUGAGAGGUUGAACGGCCACAUUGGGACUGAGACACGGCCCAGACUCCUACGGGAGGCAGCAGUGGGGAAUAUUGCGCAAUGGGGGAAACCCUGACGCAGCAACGCCGCGUGAUUGAAGAAGGUCUUCGGAUUGUAAAAAUCUUUUAUCAAGGACGAAGAAGUGACGGUACUUGAUGAAUAAGCUCCGGCUAACUACGUGCCAGCAGCCGCGGUAAUACGUAGGGAGCAAGCGUUAUCCGGAUUUACUGGGUGUAAAGGGCGAGUAGGCGGAUUGGCAAGUUGGGAGUGAAAUGUCGGGGCUUAACCCCGGAACUGCUUCCAAAACUGUUGAUCUUGAGUGAUGGAGAGGCAGGCGGAAUUCCCAGUGUAGCGGUGAAAUGCGUAGAUAUUGGGAGGAACACCAGUGGCGAAGGCGGCCUGCUGGACAUUAACUGACGCUGAGGAGCGAAAGCGUGGGGAGCAAACAGGCUUAGAUACCCUGGUAGUCCACGCCGUAAACGAUGGAUACUAGGUGUGGGAGGUAUUGACCCCUUCCGUGCCGCAGUUAACACAUUAAGUAUCCCACCUGGGGAGUACGACCGCAAGGUUGAAACUCAAAGGAAUUGACGGGGGCCCGCACAAGCAGUGGAGUAUGUGGUUUAAUUCGACGCAACGCGAAGAACCUUACCAGGACUUGACAUCCAACUAACGAAGUAGAGAUACAUCAGGUGCCCUUCGGGGAAAGUUGAGACAGGUGGUGCAUGGUUGUCGUCAGCUCGUGUCGUGAGAUGUUGGGUUAAGUCCCGCAACGAGCGCAACCCCUAUUGUUAGUUGCUACGAAAGAGCACUCUAGCGAGACUGCCGUUGACAAAACGGAGGAAGGCGGGGACGACGUCAAAUCAUCAUGCCCCUUAUGUCCUGGGCUACACACGUAAUACAAUGGUGGCCAACAGAGGGAAGCAAAGCCGCGAGGUGGAGCAAAUCCCUAAAAGCCAUCUCAGUUCGGAUUGCAGGCUGCAACUCGCCUGCAUGAAGCUGGAAUUGCUAGUAAUCGUAGAUCAGCAUGCUACGGUGAAUACGUUCCCGGGCCUUGCACUCACCGCCCGUCA